rnacentral:tRNA from 1 species
UGUCUCAGUCAGUAGAGUAUCAGACUUUUAAUCUGAAGAUGCAGGGUUCAAGUCCCUG